AACGAACGCUGGCGGCAGGCUUAACACAUGCAAGUCGAACGCAUCGCAAGAUGAGUGGCAGACGGGUGAGUAACGCGUGGGAACAUACCCUUUUCUACGGAAUAGCUCUGGGAAACUGGAAUUAAUACCGUAUACGCCCUACGGGGGAAAGAUUUAUCGGGGAAGGAUUGGCCCGCGUUGGAUUAGCUAGUUGAUGGGGUAAAGGCCUACCAAGGCGACGAUCCAUAGCUGGUCUGAGAGGAUGAUCAGCCACAUUGGGACCGAGACACGGCCCAAACUCCUACGGGAGGCAGCAGUGGGGAAUAUUGGACAAUGGGCGCAAGCCUGAUCCAGCCAUGCCGCGUGAGUGAUGAAGGCCUUAGGGUUGUAAAGCUCUUUCACCGAUGAAGAUAAUGACGGUAGUCGGAGAAGAAGCCCCGGCUAACUUCGUGCCAGCAGCCGCGGUAAUAC
rnacentral:rRNA from 1 species